CAGUCGCCACGGUAAUACGUAGGUGGCAAGCGUUGUCCGGAAUUAUUGGGCGUAAAGGGCUCGCAGGCGGUUUCUUAAGUCUGAUGUGAAAGCCCCCGGCUCAACCGGGGAGGGUCAUUGGAAACUGGGAAACUUGAGUGCAGAAGAGGAGAGUGGAGUUCCACGUGUAGCGGUGAAAUGCGUAGAGAUGUGGAGGAACACCAGUGGCGAAGGCGACUCUCUGGUCUGUAACUGACGCUGAGGAGCGAAAGCGUGGGGAGCGAACAGGAUUAGAUACCCCCGUAGUCCCUGUCUCUUAUAC
rnacentral:rRNA from 1 species